ensembl:lincRNA Gm45121 predicted gene 45121
AGAGAAACCCUAUUAUCUUGAAAAACAAUAACAAAAACCCCAAACAAAACAAAGAUUAAAUAAACACAGCUUCCCUAGUUAAGUCCAUUUGUGUAUACCAUUCCCCCAACACACACAAAGACGUUUAUCACCUAAGGCUCUAGAACCUUUUGCCUCUGCAGACAAGAAAUUCCAGGACAAGCUCUUUGUAUUCAUUCCUCAUCCUGCUUGAGAGCUACAGCCCCUUCUAAGCUGUACGCCUGGCUUUUAAAUGGAAUAGAUGGAGCAGAGUUCCCCGGUUUCUCAGCUCCAGCAGUUGCACGGUUUUUAAUGUCUCCACUGACUGUAAUUCUCACAUAACUGAUGGCCUGUCAGGGCCUGUACCGUCACAAGUCAAUAACAACUGUCCAAAUGCCUUCUGCUGGAUCGUUGUGGUUGAGGAGCUGGGAGCUGUCUGCAGAGGUGGACACGCUGCUGCUCAGAAUCAAUCCCCCAGAGCUUCACCCACCCUUGUUUACCGCUGAGCCUUUCUCUUUGGAGCAAAUUACUUUCCGUCCUGCAGGGGAGGAGUGGAGGCCUGGAGCUGGAUGUGGGGGGAGGAAGGGAGAGGGGCAGCUGAGGUAAACCCAUCAGCUAGCUGAGUCCUCCUCUCCAUCCUCCCCCAGCCCUCCUCAGCCUCCUGGAUAAGCAGCUGUGCUUAUCAACUCUGGUUCUCUCUGUCAGUGCUGCCACCUGAGUCCUAGCCCAUCUCUCUCUCCUCUCUCUCUCUCUCUCUCUCUCUCUCUCUCUCUCUCUCUCUCCUGUUAACCAGCCAGAUGCACCCAGACAAAUGUUCAGUCUUUCCAAGGUCAGUUUCUCCUAUAGAAAUUGGGGAUAAAUUAUAGUGCACACACACACACACACACACACACACACACACACACACACACACGCACGGUCCUUAUUGGGAAUAAAUGAAAUAAAUUCUUUGAAAAACUACCUAAACUGUAAUGUUACUAAAAUGUAAUUCUAUGGCUGCUGACAGUUCUUUCUUUCUUUCUAAACCAAGACAAGGGUCUGAUGUAGCUCAGGCUGGCCUCCAACUUGAAGAUGCCCUCAUAUUUCUGAUCCUCCUGCUUAUGCCUCCUGUUGCUGGGAUUAUAGAUGUGCACCGCAUACCUGAACCCCCGUCUUCAA